CACGGGGGGAGCAAGCGUUGUUCGGAAUCACUGGGCGUAAAGGGCGUGUAGGCGGUCAGGUAAGUGGGAUGUGAAAUGCCCCGGCUCACCCGGGGACCGGCAUCCCAUACUGCUUGGCUUGAGUACGGGAGAGGAUGUGGGAAUUCCUGGUGUAGCGGUGAAAUGCGUAGAUAUCAGGAGGAACACCGGUGGCGAAGGCGCACAUCUGGCCCGAUACUGACGCUGAGGCGCGAAAGCUAGGGGAGCAAACGGGG
rnacentral:rRNA from 1 species